rnacentral:rRNA from 1 species
AUGGGGCACAUUGCUGAUCCUACGGGCGCCGUAGUCGUGGGCUGCAAAGUGCUGCCCAUCUUCAACGAGAAUGGCAUCGUGGACGGCGCGGUGAAGAAGAUCGUGCACAGGAUCGACGGGAAGAAGGCGGUCGCCCGGGUGAAGGAGCUCCUCAAGUGGGCUGCCCAGGCCAGGCCGUACGGCAGCAGCAACGGCGUCAGUGGGAAGAAAUGGAAGCAGUUCCUGAGCUUCCAGGGAAGGGACGGUGGUGGUCCUGCAGCACCGGUAUCAAAGUGCGACGACGACGCGAGCUCGGGGUCCGGGUCCGGCGGCAAGCUGAGCUUCAAGUGGGAGGCGGGCAGCUGCUCGUCGGCGUCGUCGGUGCUGUACUCGCCGCUGUCUUUCGCGUCGGCGCCGGCCGGGAGGACGGAGCAGCAGACACCGUCGAGGGGCAACGGGAGCUACAACUACAGCUACAACGCGUACGCGUCGCGGCUGUCGUCGGUGAGCCAGAAGAGCACGUCGUCGGAGGCGUGCCGGAUGGCGCAGUGGAUCACCACCGAUUCAGACUUUGUGGUGCUGGAGCUGUAA